GAUGAAUAAUCUGAUAUCAUGUGAAAUGAGGAAAUAAGAAGCUUUCUGCUGACUUCAUUUUGACCCAGGGUCCAAAAGGUGAUGUAAUCCUGUGGCAAGAAGAUUCAAAACUGUGGACUAUCUUGCAAAAAAUACAAGAAGAUAUUGAAAGUUUUCAUGAGUGCCUACCACCUAAUCUCAAACACUAUCAUUCAUAUGUGCCUCAUUGAGCAAAUCUUUAAUGAGGAUCUAUAUGCCAGCAAUAUCUUUUGCUUGGGAGCAGAAACAGAAAGUACAUGAUGGACUUCAUUGAAGGAUGGAGAUUUGGAAGACAUGAAUGGAUGAAGAACCAAGUGCGUGAGGGCACCUAUCAGGAUUAUUGCUGAAAUCCUUAUGGAGUUAACUGGCUGAGAGGAAGGCAAGCAAGCGAGGACUGAUGGGCCCUUGGCACUGUGAGAACAGUGGAGGAGGAGGGAGCAGGGUUCAUAAGGAGGAGCACAAACAGAAAGUUCAGUGGCCCCAAUAAAAAUAACACCAGAAUCUUCCAGAUACUUUCUCCAUAAGGCGAAAAGUUGUCUCUAACUCCACAAAUUUCAACAUGCAUACAAAUCAAGAAGGGGUGGGGGUGUUACAUGCAAAUUCUGCUUCAGUGGGUGUUGGAGCCUGAGAUUCUGGCUUUCUAACAAGCUCCCAGGUAAGUGCUGAUGCUGCUGCUUUGAGGGCCACACACCUUGAGGAGUAGGAAGAGUACUCAUACUGGAAGAGUAUUCAGCACGGACUGGAAUCCUGCAUACAUAUCUGAGCUCUGUGUUCUGUAGAGAUGGGGUUUCACCAUGUUGCCCAGGCUGGUCUCAAACUCCUGAGCUCAGGCCAUCUGCCCGCCUCGGCCUCCCAAAGUGCUAGGAUUACAGAAGGUGCCUGCUUCCCCUUCACCUUCCACCAUGAUUGUAAGUUUCCUGAGGCCUCCCCAGACAUGUGGAACUAACAGGUUUCUCUUAUUGCCUGGAUCCAAGAGCAUCUCCUGGGUUCUUCCUGUUAGAAUACUGAAUGUCCAUGGAGAGUUUAACAUAAGGAAGAAGAGGCCUGUCUCCCAGCUGAAACUGGUGCAGCAGAUCAUGCAAAGUAAAACCUCAGCAGCUGUGAUGAAGUAGAGCAGAGGGCCUGGGUGUCUGUCAGCUCCAAGCGGAAGAUUUCCCCAGCUUUCUAGGUAACUGUGCUUCCACUGAGCAAGCCAGACACAGACUUGAAUGUCAUCACAAUCUGUGCCUGUGACAUCUUUCCCCAAGAAUAGCACAAAUUGAACUUUUACAUUCUUCAUAAUAUGGAAGGAAAGGUAUUGACUGAGCCACUUCUUUAUGCCUCAAGACAUCUCAUAUGUAUUUAUAUGGAUACAUACAUGAAUGUAUAUAUUCUGUCAUAAUAACAUAUUCUAUUUUUCUUAUUAUAGCACAGUGUUAGGAUAGGCUACAUAGGCUGCAUUAAACCCUCAAAUAGAAGUUUAUAUUAUGCAUCAGAAGCCAGUGCAGGGACUCUCCUCAGCACAACAUCUCUAAGUGGUGACUUGGAGGUUCAGGCUCCUUUCAUCUUAAAAUGCCAUCAUCUUCAGCAUUUGGCCUCAACAGUUGCCAGAGAGGGAGAAGAGAGUAUGUAUAAGACCACACUGCAGGAUCUGUGUUAGGUCUGCAAGCACUGCUGUCACCUCUGCCAAAUCCCGUUAGCCAGAACCCAAUCAUAUGGCCCCAUCCUAACUGCAAGGGAAGCCUGGGAAAGGUCUUCUUGUAUGC
rnacentral:lncRNA from 10 species